AUGAUGGUCCCUGCUCAGCUCCUGGGGAUCUUACUGCUCUGGAUCCCUGCAACAAGUGGGGAUAUUGUGAUGACCCAGACUCCACUCAGCCUGUCUAUCACGCUUGGACAACCAGCAACCCUCACCUGCAAGUCAAGUCAGAGCCUUGUAUAUAGUGAUGGAAAGACCUAUUUAUACUGGUUCCAGCAGAAGCCAGGCCAAGCUCCACGUCCACUGAUCAAUUUCGUUUCCAAUCGGUACACUGGGGUCCCAGACAGGUUCAUCGGCAGUGGGGCAGUUACAGAUUUCACUCUUAAAAUCAGCAGAGUGGAGGCUGAGGAUAUUGCAGUUUAUUAUUGCUGGCAAUUUGUAGCGUAUCCUCCCACAGUGAUACAGUUCUGCACAAAAACUUGUGAUGGUGUGGCCCAGCUGCCAAACAUGUGUGUUUUGUCUGCAAACAGAUAUUGCUCACUGUCUUGUCUGAUAAAGCGGAUGUUGGAGAACUCAAGGCACUGGGUUGUAAUUGUGGGUAGGGUUUGA